UUUUUCAGAGACGCCCAUGAGAAUCUUCCACAAUGGACGAAAGUCUGAUGGAGCAACGCCGCGUGAGUGAUGAAGGUUUUCGGAUCGUAAAACUCUGUUGUUAAAGAAGAACAAGUGUUAGAGUAACUGUUAACACUUUGACGGUAUUUAACCAGAAAGCCACGGCUAACUACGUGCCAGCAGCCGCGGUAAUACGUAGGUGGCAAGCGUUGUCCGGAUUUAUUGGGCGUAAAGCGAGCGCAGGCGGUUUUGUAAGUCUGCUGUGAAAGCCCUCAGCUCAACUGAGGAAGUGCAGUGGAAACUACAAAACUUGAGUACAGAAGAGGAAAGUGGAACUCCAUGUGUAGCGGUGAAAUGCGUAGAUAUAUGGAAGAACACCAGUGGCGAAGGCGGCUUUCUGGUCUGUUACUGACGCUGAGGCUCGAAAGCAUGGGUAGCGAACAGGAUUAGAUACCCUGGUAGUCCAUGCCGUAAACGAUGAAUACUAGGUGUUGGAGGGUUUCCGCCCUUCAGUGCCGCAGCUAACGCAUUAAGUAUUCCGCCUGGGGAGUACGACCGCAAGGUUGAAACUCAAAGGAAUUGACGGGGGCCCGCACAAGUGGUGGAGCAUGUGGUUUAAUUCGAUGCUACGCGAAGAACCUUACCAGCUCUUGACAUCUUCUGCCAACCCAAGAGAUUGGGCGUUCCCUUCGGGGACAGAAUGACAGGUGGUGCAUGGUGUCGUCAGCUCGUCUG
rnacentral:rRNA from 2 species